rnacentral:rRNA from 1 species
GAGCGGGGGCGGUGGAGUAGCUGCGGAGCUUCGGCUUGGGACCCGUUCCUUUUUAUGGAUUGGGAUCGACCAGGCGGUACCGGUCCCUCCGCAGCAGCAGGAGGCGCGGCCCCGGGAGUCUCAACGGCGGCCGCCGACCACCGUCGCCGUCGCCUUCGCCGCCCCUGUGCGGCGCUCACUGCGCCGCUGCGCGGGCGCCGCUGGGGGAGGAGUAGCACACGCCGACGAAGUCGCAGCAGUGCCGGCGGUGGCGGAACGAGACGCAGCGGCAGUUGCAGGAGAGGCGACAGGUCAGGAAGGCGGCGUUGCCACCGAUGUAUAAGCCCCCGUAUAAGGCCACGAUACGCCACCACUAGAGCGACAAGCACCGGCAGGAGCUCUGGCUCACCCCUAAGUAGUAGUUUAAGACGUUCUAUAACCUUAUGACCGGACGUUCCCCCUACGAUGUCUAUAAACAACGACAGUACUGCUUCCGUAUGGGUUUGCAACUUUCCUCGCUAGACUAAAACGAAGUCCUGUAACGGUCGAUAGACGAGGAACGUACACCUGAUUAGAUACAUUAGAGCCCCCAUAAUACAGAACCACAUGAUUUCGCAAGAUCCGUCGUCUUUCGUUGUAGUGCUCUCGUUCGUCGGUUUCUAGACGUACUCGACCUCUUCGCCUCUCUCCUUGAGCUCCGUAACAAUUAACGACUCUCCAGGCUUAACCAGACUACUUAGACUCGUGCUGCUAAAUUGUAAAGAGUGCACCACAUCUAUCUAACAACGAGGACGAUUAACGUACGGUGAAAAGUACCAGUAGCUAAACAGUGGGCUCUGUAAAAGCAACCCUCACGGGGGAAAAGGACACAAGGUCAAAAGCAGAUCUAAAGACGACUUAAACCAAAGACCACACUCGUAAAAGCACCUACGUACCUAGUUCGCCCUAACACAACAGAGUCAACAACCUAAAUACAGUUACGGCAUC